UUGAGAUGUUUAUUAGCAGAGGCAAUAGUCAAAAAACACCUGCACAGGGCAGGAACCCUUGCUUGCAGGAUUCUCCUGGAGGCACAGCUGAACUGUAUAAGCUCAGUGAUGUAGCCAGCAGCAGGGCAUCAGAUGAGAUGACCACAUGGCGAUGAUGAUUGUAGGAGCCUGGAGGUCGAGAGAGAAAGCUGGGGUAGAAAAUGAAGAGUCACAGCAUGCAGGUGGGAUUUGAAGGCUUGAGACUGCUGAAAGCACCUGGGACGCAAGUGCAGGCCCUACUUUGGAUUCUUGCAUAUUUUGAGCUGGAGUGAUGGAACCAAAUGAAAGAACAGUGAAAAAGUAAAAGAGGGAUCACUUCUGCAAACAGCCCAGAAUUCUGCAGCAAGCCAGAGGGCCAUGACAGGCGACUGAAUCAGAGUUGCUCCUGGGACAGUUCUUCAUGAACUCAUUUGGACUCUGGGUCCAGCUCACUAAUUCGGGGUACACUUGGGUUCUGGGCAAGUGAAGGCUUUUGUAAAAAUCAGCCUCUGAAUUCUCAUUAGAACAGCUUUAGACUGGUGGCCUUUCGCCUUCUGGGCCCUCCAGGGAGCCUAACUUUGCUAAUGCCUUGACAAUGCAAGCCUGUGUGCAUUAGCAGUUAACUGGCUACUCCAGCAAUCUGUAAGGCCAGCAAAGCAGAGAGCAGAAGCCUCGUGCUACAGAUAAGGUAACAGCUGUCAGCCAAUGGUGGGCCAUGUUGCAAUGCAGGCCUGGGGUUAAUUCCAUCAUCCCAGGCUGGCUGAAGCAGCAAUAAAAUGUCAAAAUGAA